AACGAACGCUGGCGGCAUGCCUAACACAUGCAAGUCGAACGAGACCUUCGGGUCUAGUGGCGUACGGGUGCGUAACGCGUGGGAAUCUGCCCUUGGGUUCGGAAUAACAGUUGGAAACGACUGCUAAUACCGGAUGAUGACGUAAGUCCAAAGAUUUAUCGCCCAAGGAUGAGCCCGCGUAGGAUUAGCUAGUUGGUGAGGUAAAGGCUCACCAAGGCGACGAUCCUUAGCUGGUCUGAGAGGAUGAUCAGCCACACUGGGACUGAGACACGGCCCAGACUCCUACGGGAAGCAGCAGUGGGGAAUAUUGGACAAUGGGCGAAAGCCUGAUCCAGCAAUGCCGCGUGAGUGAUGAAGGCCUUAGGGUUGUAAAGCUCUUUUACCCGGGAUGAUAAUGACAGUACCGGGAGAAUAAGCUCCGGCUAACUCCGUG
rnacentral:rRNA from 1 species